GACGAACGCUGGCGGCGUGCUUAACACAUGCAAGUCGAACGGAAAGGCCCUGCUUUUGUGGGGUGCUCGAAUGGCGAACGGGUGAGUAACACGUGAGUAACCUGCCCUUGACUUUGGGAUAACUUCAGGAAACUGGGGCUAAUACCGGAUAGGAGCUCCUGCUGCAUGGGGGGGGUUGGAAAGUUUCGGCGGUUAGGGAUGGACUCGCGGCUUAUCAGCUUGUUGGUGGGGUAGUGGCUUACCAAGGCUUUGACGGGUAGCCGGCCUGAGAGGGUGACCGGCCACAUGGGGACUGAGAUACUGCCCAGACUGCUACGGGAGGCAGCAGUGGGGAAUAUUGCACAAUGGGCGGAAGCCUGAUGCAGCAACGCCGCGUGCGGGAUGACGGCCUUCGGGUUGUAAACCGCUUUCGCCUGUGACGAAGCGUGAGUGACGGUAAUGGGUAAAGAAGCACCGGCUAACUACGUG
rnacentral:rRNA from 1 species